UGACCUCAGUUUCUUCAGAAUAUGGAACAGUUCUUGGAAUGUGUUUUCGUGGCUUUCCCAGGUGUAGUGGAUUGGAGUGAGCUUUUUUCAGCUGUAGUUAUUCAUGUGCUUCUGUGGAGAAAGAUGUUUUUGCCACCUGCUGCUCAUCAUUGUGAUUGUGUACUCCACUCACGUGAUUCUUCUUAACCCCCACAGUAUAAAUGCCCGAUGCUCUGACUAAAGUUAACUAUUGCAUGAGACUUUAGUUCACCUCAUUUUUAGGCCCUGUUCUCCCAGGUUCACACUGCCAACGAGAGCGGUAAACAAGUGGCACCACGAAUCAGGGACCUGAAGUCAGCUAUAAGACAGUGAGGGCCCUCACAGAAAGGAAAAAGUAAAAGUCCAAACAGCACCACUGACAACUGUGACAGUGACACUUUCCUGAGCUCCCUUCCUGGGUCCUUUAGAUAUGGAUCCUCCAUUGACUGCAAGUGACCCUGAAGCAUGUGAUGGAUCCACUGAAACAUCAUGGAUUCCUCUUUGGCUCCUCCAGCCCUGGGCCAUCAAGAACACUCUGGAAGUCACCAGAAAGAUAGCAAACCGCCCUCCAGCUAAACAGCAAAAGGAGAUAUCGAUCAUAUCACCAGAAGUGAAGUCUGCCCACCUGGGGCCAAGUUACAGCUCUAUGCACCAAGGGAGAAGUUAUUUUACUAAUGACUCUGUGUUUCUGACUGGACCUUGAGACCAUAAAAGACUCAUUCAUCCAUCUGAAGAAGGGACUGCAUUUAAUUUUUCCUUGGGAUUUGAAUCACUUCCCAUUUGCAUAGGCCAUCAUAGCACUUGUAUUCCUACUAAAGGCAAAUAUGGGCUUAUGAUCUAUAAGAUAUCAGAACUACUAAUCAUAUGGGUCUCUUUUCAAGCUAGUCUCUAGAUUUUUCUGAUCAAUAUAAUGUAACUAAUAGUACAGGACAUAGUUUGUAUCUCUAUGCUUGGUGCUUCUUGGUGGCAGAGUAUUACACACAAUGCUUUCACUGUCCUAAUAUCAUUUGCUUGCUUAUAGGAUACUCAUCAAAUGACAACUAGAUUUAUCUAUAACAUCUCAAAUCAAAACCACUUUGCAUAUCCUGCAAUCAAAAACUAAAAAGGGGUGAGAUAGAAGUCACAACAUGAUCCAAGAAUGGAGUCAUGUGAGGGGAAUUCUGGGUGCUUGUGAGAAAACUCCAAGAAAACAAGAGUUUGUGACUCUAGUUUCUUCAAAACACAGAAUUGUUCUUGGAAUGUAUUUUUGUGUUCCUCCCAUGUGUAGCAGAUAGGAGUGACUUACUUCAGGUGUUGUUAUUCAUAUGCCUCUAUGAGAAAAUAUGUGGGUUUUUUUUGCCAUGUGUGGCUUGUCCUUGUGGUUGUAUACUUUACUCAGGUGAAUCUUCCUAAUUCUCAGAGUAUAAAUUAUCUGAUGUGCUGAAUAAAGCUGACUAUUGCAUGCGA